GUGCUCACUUUGGCAGCACAUACGCUGAAACUGGAACGAUACAGAGAUUAGAAUGGCCACUGUGCAAGGAUGACACCCAAAUUCAUGAAGUGUUCUAUAUCUUU
rfam:Pteropus alecto contig62666, whole genome shotgun sequence.